AAGUUUGGAUACGUGAGUCAUAGAAUUGUAAUUUUUUUAUUCGCGAAUUCAUAAAUCGGCCAUCUUUGACGGAAUCGACGAAGAAGAAUCAAUCGGAAAAAUUAGGGCGUACAGACGAUCGGUAUCAUCGUGGUGUUAAUUUGAAAAUAUUAUCGGAGUGCGUGAGGAAAACAACACGCAGUAUCUGUCGUAGUCUCGGUUACCUGAUGUAUUUGCAAUAAAACAAAUGUCACGAUCGGCAAUUCGUCAUUCAAAGAAGACAACUGUAGUCUGUGACGUGUACGGUAUUUCAGUGGCGAUACGCCAGGCCACCGGUAAAAAGAAAGUUCAAGAAAUGACUAGAGCGAACGUGGUGUACGAAUGUUUGAAAAUUUAAAUGUCCACCAUUAGACGAUCUUCGCUUGUUUCUACCGGGCGCCCGAUUGUUGAGAACCUCUCCGCCGUAGUCUGCUAGACUUUCAAAAGCAGCGCGGCAAUCGACGGGGCGCCGUUUGAUGCGGACAAUAUAAUAAAAUGAAUAACCAUCGAUAACGGGGGCGUAUAUUACUCACCAUUUGUUGACAAUCUGGGGAAUUGUAACAGCCUUUAUCCUCCGAACUCCGCAGAAAAUCCGCCUCGUAUUGCAGCUUUUUAGUCACAGAAGAACGCGAGUGUCUCACAGUCGAUCUCACUACAGCUGAGCCCAUUCGGCCAUCUUGUUUUAUAAGCUACAUAUAUACUAAAAGCAGAUACACUCGAGGAGAUAUGAUAUGCUACGUAAGACACGAUUACGCAUUCUCAGCCCUUACUCUACGAUCAACUGGCUUGCGCAACGCGCGCUUAUUCUAGUUUAAUAUUUUACCGCAACAAUCGAAUUCCGGCGGCACAUUCGCCGUAUUCGAAAUUUCGAACCGAUGAAGCGUCUUCAAUUGUUUCAAAAUGGC
rnacentral:misc_RNA from 1 species